rnacentral:rRNA from 1 species
AUUGAACGCUGGCGGCAGGCCUAACACAUGCAAGUCGAACGAGUGGCGGACGGGUGAGUAAUGUCUGGGAAACUGACUGAUGGCGGGGGAUAACUACUGGAAACGGUAGCUAAUACCGCAUACCAUCGGAUGUGCCCAGAUGGGAUUAGCUAGUAGGUGGGGUAAAGGCUCACCUAGGCGCCGAUCCCUAGCUGGUCUGAGAGGAUGACCAGCCAACCUGGAACUGGGACACGGUCCAUCCUCCUACGGUAGGAAGCAGUGGGGAGUAUUGCACAAUGGGCGCAAGCCUGAUGCAGCCACGCCGCGUGUAUGAAGAAGGCCUUCGGGUUUUAAAGUACUUGCAGCGGGGAGGCGUUACCCGCAGAAGAAGCACCGGCUAACUCCGUGCCAGCAGCCGCGGUAAUUC